rnacentral:lncRNA from 1 species
CAGACUUAUGGUGCAAUGCAAUCAUGAUGAACUCAACACUAAGCACCUAAAAUCAGAAUUUGAUCAACCAAAUUGAUCAGAUAAGUGAUGAUCGGUGGGAGGCUCUCCGUUGCUGAUGCAACGAUCUUAAUUAAGUAACCACCUUUCAAAGUACUUUUUUUAGACACCAAUAGGUCAAUCUAUUCUAAAUUAGGUUUGGCUUUUGGUUCCUCACCAC